rnacentral:misc_RNA from 1 species
GAUGAAGAACGCAGCGAAAUGCGAUACGUAAUGUGAAUUGCAGAAUUCAGUGAAUCAUCGAAUCUUUGAACGCACAUUGCGCCCGCCAGUAUUCUGGCGGGCAUGCCUGUUCGAGCGUCAUUUCAACCAUCAAGCCCCAGGCUUGUGUUGGAGCCCUGCGGCUGCCGCAGCCUCCCAAAACCAGUGGCGGGCUCGCUAUCACACCGAGUGCAGUAGUUUACUCUUCGCUCAGGGCGUGUGGCGGGUGCUAGCCGUAAAACCCCCAACUUCUCAAGGUUGACCUCGGAUCAGGUAGGAAUACCCGCUGAACUUAAGCAUAUCAAUAAGCGGAGG